GGGGAGGUGGUCGAGUGGUUUAUGGCUCCAGUCUUGAAAACUGGCUUAGGGAAACCUAACGUGGGUUCGAAUCCCACCCUCUCCGCCA
rnacentral:tRNA from 1 species